AGAGUCGCUCUCUCUCACCGCCGCCGCCAUGAACGGGCAGCUCAACGGCUUCCACGAGGCGUUCAUCGAGGAGGGGACGUUCCUCUUCACUUCGGAGUCUGUAGGGGAAGGUCACCCAGAUAAGAUUUGUGACCAAAUCAGUGAUGCUGUCCUUGAUGCACACCUUCAACAAGACCCUGAUGCUAAAGUGGCUUGUGAAACUGUUGCUAAAACUGGAAUGAUCCUUCUUGCUGGGGAAAUUACAUCCAGAGCUGCCAUUGAUUACCAGAAAGUGGUUCGUGAAGCCAUAAAGCACAUUGGAUAUGAUGACUCUUCCAAAGGGUUUGACUACAAGACUUGUAAUGUGUUGGUUGCCUUGGAACAACAGUCACCAGAUAUUGCCCAAGGUGUUCAUCUUGACUGGAAUGAGGAAGACAUUGGUGCAGGAGACCAGGGUUUGAUGUUUGGUUAUGCCACUGAUGAAUCUGAAGAGUGUAUGCCUUUAACCAUUGUCUUAGCACACAAGCUAAAUGCCAAACUGGCUGAACUACGACGCAAUGGUACACUGCCUUGGUUACGCCCAGAUUCUAAAACUCAAGUGACUGUGCAGUAUAUGCAAGAUCGGGGUGCUGUGCUUCCCAUCAGAGUCCACACG